ACACAAUACGCCACUGUAUAUUCGUUGACUGCUGUUCAACUCGAACCGUCGCCAAAAAACGCUGUCUUACUUGUCGUCACGGAAUAUCAUCUAUUACGCUUCUGCCUUGGAGACUACGCACCAAUGCUAGCUUCAUGCUAGCUUCAUCGUAUCUUUGAGGACUCUUCAGUUUUCCUUGGAAAAAAGUUGGUCUACGGCCGCGACCCUCGUGAGGAUAAGCGCUACCAAAACAAAAAAAUUGCAAGAACGGCGUGUGGACAUGACUUCCGGGGAGACCCAGCCACGCUAUCGAGAAAACUCAUUUCGGACAAUUUACCUGCAAUCUUUCGGUCGCUACCAAAAGCUCAUGACCAAAGAUGGAGUGGAAGUGACUUCAUCUCAACAUCAACGCACAUCUGGACAAGAAAAGAAAAGGUAGCAAAAGAGUGUACGAUGCUGAGUGGCGCCAACCUUUGCUUUUGUGCAUCUGGCCAGUGAUCUUGCGCUGAUGGAAACUUCCGUGGGUGGCGCACUGAGUGAAGUCGGCUCCGUCUGCCUUAACGGCCCGAAAGAUAAACAGCUGAGGAUGAGGAGAGCGACAAGAUGAAGGGGGUGCGUGCAGCUAGAAGGAGACUCCCAUUCCAUCCCAAACAAGCGACUGACUGGCAAGCACACAAAAGCCCGCCCGCAGACUAGCUGAUGAACUCGGGGGGGAAAGCUGAAUGCGAGCCCAUCGUCCACACAUCUAUCGGUUGCCUGGGAGCACAUAAGAGCGUACCUGCGGAGAUGCCAGCAGCAGACUGAGCGUCCAGGCCACGAGCAGCAUGCGUUUGUUCCUGAGCCCCGCGUCCAGGGAAUCCAGAGGAUGCAGAAUGGCGCGAUAUCGAUCGAGGCUCACCACCACGAGUAUGAAAGCAGCCGAAUGCAUGGCGAACAGCUUGAGGAAGCACAAGAGUUUACACAUGACGUCCCCGGCGUACCACUGCACCGUCAUGUUCCAAAUGGCGUCCAGCGGCAUCACCACGAAAGUCAUCACCAGAUCCGCCGACGCCAAGCUGGCGAUGAGGGGGCGCAGGUGCGCCGCCAGGCGGUAGCCCCGCCCCCAGCAGACGCUGAUCAGGACGGACAGGUUGCUGACGGCGGCGAAGACGAAGAGCGCCAGCGUGGCCGCGACGCGGCAACGGGCGGCGACAGUGAAGGCGGGGGCUUCCCACGGCGGCGACGUGGACGGGACGGACGCGUUGUGCGGUGGCGGGUACGCAGGUGUGGAAAACCACAACGAAAGGUUUCCCGCCAUGAGAGCGGACUCUGAAAACAACAAAGGCGUUGAUUACACUCAAAGUCAAACGUCACUCGCUUUAUUGACACUGGUAAGUCAAUUAUGACUUUUCUCUCGUUAGCAGGAUUUAUGAUGGCGCUAUCUGCAGGGCAAGAUUUUUUUUUUUUUUUUUUUUUUUUUCAGGAGCGUCAUGGUGCCGCUCUGAACAAAAAUUUAAUCGGUCGCUUCUCUACGGCUUUGAUGCUAAUGCUAUUUUAGUCACCAACCUCUCGGUUGAGGGUGAAAAUUGAUCUUCUCAGUUGUCCUUGCAAGAUGUUGCAUUUGUGAUGUCAUCGUGACUAACAAGACAUCCUUAAAGUGAACUCGACACGACGACCCGGGUCUCAAAUACAAUAACAUAACAUUCCCGGUAUCAUAUCUAAUAACAUACUCUAUAAUUCAUUCAUUCAUUUUCUACUGCUUUUUCCUCACAAGGGUCACAGGGGGGGUGCUGGAGCCUAUCCCAGCUGUCUUCGAACUGGCGAGAGGCGGGGUACACCCUGGACUGGUGGCCAGCCAAUCACAGGGCACAUAUAGACAAACAACCAUUCACACUCACAUUCAUACCUAUGGACAAUUUGGAUUCGUCAAUUAACCUAGCAUGUUUUUGGAAUGUGGUAGGAAACCGGAGUACCCGGAGAAAACCCACGCACGCACGGGGGAAAACAUAUAAAAUACAAACAGAGGGUGGAAUCGAACUCGGGUCUCCUAGCUGUGUGCCAUGUGCGCUGACAGCAAAAAUAUUCAUUCAUUCAUUCAUUUUUCUACCGCUUAUCCUCACAAGGGUUGUGAGGGGUGUUGGAGCCUAUCCCAGCUGUCUUCAGGGCGAGAGGCGGGGUACACCCUGGACUGGUGGCCAGCCAAUCACAGGGCACAUAUAGACAAACAACCAUUCACACUCACAUUCAUACCUAUGGACAAUUUGGAGUGGCCAAUUAACCUAGCAUGUUUUUGGGGAGAACAUGCUAACUCCACAAUGAGAAUCGAACCCACGUCUUCCCGAUCUCAUAACUGUGUGGCCUACAUGCUAACCAUUCGGCAUGUUUGUGUAUUUGUUUAUACACCUUUUGAGUUUUAAGUCGCAGUGUGAUGAAUCGAGUGCCGUUAGCAAAGUGUUUGUUCUCAGUAAGACAUUCCCACUUUACAUUCAUACCUAUGGACAAUUUGGAGUCACCACUUAACCUAGCAUGUUUUUGGAAUGUGGGAGGAAACCGGAGUACCCGGAGAAAACCCACGCAUACACGAGGAGAACAUGCAAACUCCGAUGGUGGAAAAAUAUUCAUUCAUUCACUCACAUGGCACAUAUAGACAAACAACAUAGACAAACAACCAUUCACACUCACAUUCAUACCUAUGGACAAUUUGGAUUUGCCAAUUAAUUAAUUAACAAUAAUUAACCUAGCAUGUUUUUGGAAUGUGGGAGAAAACCGGAGUACCCGGAGAAAACCCACGGGGAUGGGGAGAACGGGGAGAACAUGCAAACUCCACACAGAGAUGGCCGAGGGUGGAAUCGAACCUCCUGGUCUCCUAGCUGUGAGGUCCGUGCGCUAACCACUCGAACGCCGUGCCGCCCCAUAUCCUAUCAAUAAUCCAUUUUUAGUUCACGGAGGGAACUAUGUGCUGAAUAUGGUCCCUGUGCCACAUUUUGGACACCCGCUGUAUUGCACGCCAGUGUGUCACUGAGGAUUUUCCAGCCUGCAAGUUGAAUUAAAGUGGAAUUACUUGCAAAUUAAUCCUUCCACAGUGGGGGGGCAACACAACAUUCCGUUUGAAAAGUCAUCUAGAAAUACAUUGUUGAAAUGUUUUAGCAGAUUUAGGUUUAAUAAUAACUCAUGUUUAUAUUAUUAUGCCAACUACAGUAUAUUUGUCAUCACUAAGUAUUUGAUACUGCUACAUUUAUAUACUAUAUUGUUAACAAACUUGCUUCUGUUGACUUAAUUCACAUUAUGGACGUCAUUUUGCACACACAAGUAUAUGGAAUAAAAAUCGCCCUAUUAGCUUUUUGGGCAGCAAGACGUAAUAGCGCCCUCUGUCGGUGAUUGUAAGCUGGUGGUACUGCACCAAAGAAGACGCCAAUGUUUCCUUACAAUCCAAAAAAAAAAAAAAAAAACAGGAAACAUCCAAACAUUGUGUUUCUUUAAAGAGACGCCAUCUUUAUUAUAAAAACGGAUCGCCACGACAAGCUUCUAUCAUCUUACCUGAAGUCAUCUUGGGAGGUUUCACAGUUGCUCAAGUAUCUCAAGCAUCACUUUGUCUUAGCUUCUGGCAGUCUCGCGAUACUCUUCACAGACGCUCCUUCCUGGCGACGAUGAGUUUUAUGUGUUGUUUUUUUUUUUUUUUACGGCGGAGGCAGCCUCCAUAGCUUAGCCUCGUCUGCAGGCACGCGCACAGUCUGCUCCUGCUAUAAUACAUGCAGUGUUGAACGAGGAAGCAGGGUCGCCGCUGAUUGGUCGAGUUGGGCGGGGUGACGUCACGGCUCCUGCCGCAUGAGCCACACACAAGACAUUCGAGAGGAUUUCCAGGAAUAGUCCUGCUGACUGCACAGUACGUCGCCAUUCUUUCGUUUUUUAUGUGUUAUUAUUAUUAUUUCUUUCUUAUUCUUAUGGAUUAUGGUUACAAAAAAAUGAAUACAUAAAAAGCAUUUUGUGUUAUUUUUAUCUUUUUACAUUCUGUAAUGAACUGAGAUGUAAAUUAACUGGAUGUUCCAAAUGAACU